rnacentral:rRNA from 1 species
CCUACGGGAGGCAGCAGUGAGGAAUAUUGGUCAAUGGACGCAAGUCUGAACCAGCCACGUCGCGUGAAGGAAGACGGCCCUACGGGUUGUAAACUUCUUUUGUAAGGGAAUAAAGUGUAGUACGUGUACUAUUUUGCAUGUACCUUACGAAUAAGGAUCGGCUAACUCCGUGCCAGCAGCCGCGGUAAU